rnacentral:sRNA from 1 species
GUUCGGUAGGUAAGGCUCCUGUUGGGAUAUGGGCUGUUGCCGCAAAAUGGUGGAGACACCAUGCGCCGGUUUGAACAAGACGCAUCGAACCCAAGGUGCGUUUUAACACAGCUUCACCGCCCUGCAAAGCUAAAGCUCAAACGAAUG